UUUUACUGUUUCAUGCAACAGCGCCACUCGCAGGAGUGAGGGAGAACUACAUACUCAGCUUGUUAGCGUCACAAAGUGACAAAGUGUGCGCGCGUUCAGUGUGACUCAUCCACGUCACGUCCUCCACGAGCCACCGGGGAGACGUCCAGCCACAUCGACGCACAGCGAUGAUGACGCACUGCUGUGGCGACAACAGCGUGGGCAACACAGCAUCCACCAUGAGUGAGUCAACGUGGAAGAGGAGGAGAUAUUUGACUGCUGGGUUAUUUUUAAUUUCAUGAAUUAUCAUAGAAAUGUACAAGUCAUGUG